CAGGUCUAUAAAUAAAUUCAAGAAAAAAAUGAAUUAUUUACCAGUCACAUUACUCCAUAACAAGAGUUAACCUACUGUUAAAAGACGACACUUAACACACAAAUGACGCACAAACUUAGCAGUACCUGUUGGUCUCCACUAUUUCAUUUACUUUAUCUAUUUUGCAGUGUAGUCUCCCUGCAGCAAUAAAUCUGGAGAGCUCCCUACAAUUAAGAGGAGGGGGGGAAAAGGGCAUUAGUAUGAGCCUUAUACAAAAUUCUUACACUGCACUAAAUACAUGUUUCCACUGUCUCUCAAGGUAACAUUCAGUUGGCUUCCAGCCUGUGCAGAGGCUGAGAAGCUCGUCGCUGGCUGACUGCAGGAUCAUCCCAGAAGAUUAAAUCACUUACUGGAAUAAACGACACUUAAAUAGUUCCAUCUCCACAGGGAGCUGCUAAUCCAUUUGCAACUAUUAUUCUGGGACUGAGGUUCACAAAAAAAAUUAUACAAGAUUUAAAGCAGGGGGAAACCUCCACCAGAGACGAACUCUGACUCAAGGAUGCCCUCUGCUGGGUUUCGGACAGACUGCUCCAUCCAAAGAGCCUGACUGCCGGCAGGCCUAAGCUGACAGUGCUGCUGCUGCCCGUGCCGGCAUUGCCGGACCUGAGGCCCUGACACUUACCCUCUGCCCAGACUACCCGACGAGACUCCACACAAGCUGCUAACUCCCUAGCCUGGCACUUAAAGCACUGCUUGUCUCAGUUCCUGUACAGACUGCCACACACUCCAUCAAAGUACACAGUAGGCUACUGGGCUCAAAAACAUGCUCCUACAGGGAACUGUGCUAUUUCUUCCACGGGGGAAAGCACUUUUUUCCUUACCUUCUUACAAAAAUCUUAAAAAACGCAGCGCCAUCCAGUCUAAAGGCCCACCAGAAGGCGUCUGGGGAUGUGUCCAUUUCUCAGGCACUUCAAUCAAAUACGACUCCUAGGUAUGCUCAUUCUGAACUAUAUGCAUCAAGAAUAAUCUGGGCGCAGCUUCUUUCCUGGUUACAACAAAAUUUAACUCCCAAUGUCCUAUGUUUCCAUUGAAGUCCCAUUGCCGGCUUUAGAGCCAAACCACUUGUCCUCUCCCUACGUGCCAUCAAACAUCCCAGGAUGACUCAUCUUCUCCAGCCGUGGGUAUUUCUCCAAGCCCCGAGCAUGGUGGCUCAUACACAGAAGAUAUGCGGUAGUGAUGAACCAAGUAUUUACUGAACACACAACCUACCAAUCAGAUUUGCAUUCCAUGUUUCAAACAGAAGACCUACCAACAAAUUGUGUCACACAGUGCAUGGGUUUCUACCUUAAACCUGGCAGUAGUGUCUCCUCAAAUAAUGGCCCCUUCCUAUUCUCCCAACAGUAUCUUCCUGAGUCUAAGGAAGUAGAGAAGUGGAAGAAUAGUGAAGAAUUACGUUCAAACUUACCAAAUCAGACCCUCCUUACCUGAAAUGAUUUUUAUAAGGGAGGAAAAAAAGAAUCUGGGAAAACGCAGAUGUGAACUGGGUAUCCAAAAUUUCAAACAAGGUCUUUCUAGGUAACAGCUAGAGCUCUACGUAUACAUACAACUUUUGCCUUUAGAGCUGGUCUGCAAACAUGAAGGAAAAGAACCUGAAAUACCACCUGAAAUGUACCACGUCUGGAAUGCAGAGGUCAUCCGAAUGAGUUGUAAGAAUGCUGCAGUGUGUCUAAAUGACACGUUCCUGCUCUAGUGCAUCUUACCCACAACUUCAUGUGAGCCUCAGAUGGCCCCAAGUAGUGAAAGCUGUAUCACCUCCAAGGGACAGUUAAGAAACCGAGGAAGGGACAGAACCAGACCAAGGUCGCAGGACUAUUCAAUGGCAGAGCUAGAACAAGGAGCCAAGCCAACCCUGUUCUUCAUGCACUGCUCACAGUAAGCCACUCGUUCCACUGAGUCAUGAGAAUCAGACUCAUAAUGGCCAUCCCCUCAUCCCAGUAACCAGCUCUCCCAGGCAGUGGUAACCACACUUGAAUUUCAAAGAAUAGUUCAGUUCCAAGAUAAAACCAGCCUAGGAGGACCAGCCUUUUAUUUUGGUAAGGAAAAUUUUUAAGAUGCAAAACUAUCACUGCCUUUUUUCUUUCAAAGGAAGAGAAUAAGGGGAUUUCUGGUGGUGAUGGCUCAAUAGUUCAAGUUAUACUUAAGAUCUGUACCUCUCAUCAAAUGUAAAUAUGUAAAACUCAAAACAAGCCUAUAAGCAGAUAUUGGGAUGAAAUGUACUGGAUCCAAAACUUACUUUGAAAUGGUUAAAAUAUAGGAUGGGCAGAUAUGUGAUAAAGCAGAUAAAACAAUUAUAGGAUCAAUCACCUAUGGGAAUUCACUGUAAUUCCUUAGAAUUUCCUACAUGUUUGAAAUUUUUCAUAAUAAAUUAGAAAAAUCAAACCCCUAAAAAGAUAAUUUUUUUUUAAAAUGAAAUCUGUCAUCACUGAACUUUACUAUAUAACUAUCUUUUUCACCGUGGGCCACUGAAAACUACACCAGCACUUAACAGAUCUUUGGGAACCACAGAUCUAGGUACCAUGAGGACAGCACAUACUCUGAAUGUAUACGUCUCCCACACUCCACUCUCACCACCCUCGUCCAAGCCACCGCAACAGCUCCUCCAGGAGCUACUGUACUCAACAGCCCACCGAGUCUCCUGUCAUCUUGCAGUCUGUGAAGAUACGGCUUCAUGCUCUAGGACUCUAAAGCGCUUAAAAUCCUCCAAUGGCCUCCUACAGGACCUAGAUUAAAACCCAAGCUCCAUACCAUGGCCACCAGGCCCUGCACAAGCGCACGAGUGCCUGAGUCUGCCACUACCACGCCACUGCAGCCACACGCAUCUUUUGGUUGCGUUUUAUUAUCUCCAAUGAUUCAUUUCUAUCUGAAACUACCUUAUGUAUUUAUUUCUUACUUGCUAACUCUACCCGUACAAAAACCACCAAAUAUUAAAGUCCAUGACGACAAGGACCUUAAACAAUGCCAACCAUACAGUAAUGGUUUAGUAAGUAUUUGAUGAAUCAUUGAUUUAAGGGCUGAAAGUCCCAUCUUUAACAACUAAUGUGACCAGAACUGCAGCAGCAACCAAAAACAAUGAAGGCAUUAUCAGAGAAAAUAUAUAUGACCUUAAUGUGAGAUAUGGGAGAGCCACCUAGGAGUCACCACCAUAGUAGCAGUGUGGUCCACAAAGAAGGGACAGAGUACUGCUGUCACAACUGCUCUCAUACAUACCCUUUUGCAAAAUCACUUGACCACUCUACAACUCAGUAUCCCCAUCCAUUAAUAAAGGGCACAUCAUGAAGGCAGAGAUGACAGAUGAUUGUUCUGAUAAUAUUUAGAGAAAAAUUGUUACUUUUUUUUUAUAACUGAGGGAAGCAAAUGUAAAUGGAGAAAAUGUACAAGUUGAGACAUUAAAAGAUACUUUAAGAAAUAUGCAUUGACAUAAUAUUAUACUUACUGAUCAAUGAAUUCCACACCAACACCAAAGGCUUCUGCCAUAUAGCCAAGAGUUAAUGACCUGUAGGAUUCCAGCAGCUGGCUGUAUGCAUGAAUUCUCAUUUCUCUUACAUAGUAUCGAUAAUGAGGGGCAAAAAGCCAGUCCUUUUUCAUUUCCUGUUCCACAACAGCUGCAAUGAAUGAGAUGACAAAUAAUAAGAGAUAGAGCUCUUAGAAAUCACGAAGAAAGAUCGAAUGGUAAGAUGUACACUGAUGAGCAAUCCACACAAAUACAAAUUAUUUUACUAAAGAACUACUUUGUAUCACUGCUCUAAAUAGCGAGGAUAUGGCAGUAAACCAAAAGACAAGAUCCCUGCUGCCACAGAAACUAAAUUUUCAGAGCAGAGAUGAAUAAACAAGAUACUUUUAGUAACAAAUUCUAUGUAGAAAAUAAGAGUGACAGGGCAGCUAGGAGGCCUUCCGCUGGAUUGGGGUAGAUAGGGAAGACCUCUCUGAGGAGCCAGCCAAACAGCGGGAGGCACAGAGCAAUGCAAACAAUGCAGAACUCCCACAGCAGGAAGAGCCAGGCUCGGCCCCAGAAUAGAAAGGACAGAUUCAGUAUAAAGCAGCAAGGGGGCAGCUACAGGGAUAUGGAAGGCGAGCAACACAAAAUAAUAAAAAAUACACUUGUGUCUCUGGCUUUAACAAGAAGCAAAUCCCUGGAGAAAAUCUGUGUUUUGUUUUCUGGUUUUGGAGAUUUUUUGGAGGGGGUAGGGCAAGGGAGAUUCACAGUGUUCAAGUGGAUUCAGCUAUUGUACAUGCAAAUGAAGAUACCAAGGAGAUAUUUAGGCACGGGUCUGGCGCUCACUGGAAAGUUGGGGGCUGGAAACAUGAAUCUGGGAAUCACUACCAUCCAGAUAAAUUUGAUGACAGAAUGAAGAUAGAGACAAGGGCAAUGACCGGGUCUGAGGCAGUCACUGAGAGGUCUAACGAAGGAUGAGGUGGCAGGUCCGGGGAAAAGAAGGGUGUGUUAUUGUUCAAGAGAACAAAAUUGUGGCAAGAUGCAAAGGCUGCUCAACAUCAAAAGAGAGAAGGAUGAGCAAGGCAACACAUGGCCGAGCAACACGGAAAUCGAUGGCCUCAAAAUGGGAUGAUGCUCAUUCUCACAAAUAAUGAACGAAAUGCAGUAAACAUCAAGUCGUUAUGUUGUACAGCUUAAAAUUAUACAGUGUCGUAUGUCAGAUCUCAAUAAAACUGCAAAAAAACACAGCAAGAAAACCUAUGCAAGAGAAUGGGAAGAAAAAUGUUGGUCAGGAUGGGUCACAUUCAUAACCCAAACAUAAAAUAUCUUCUAUCAUUUAUGUGCCAUUUAAGAGAAGACUCAAGAGUUCAAUAAAAACUGUCCUCGGAAACAAGAAAUGAAUAAAAUAGGAAUAUAAUUAUUUUUCUCAGACUGGCUAAGAGUACGGUGGGGGAAAGGCUCUCUUCAAAUGAUGUAAAUUGAGGGGUGCCUGGCUGGCUCAGUCAGAGGAGUGUGCAACUCUUGAUCUUGGGGUCACGAGCUGAGCCCCAUGAUGGGUGUAGAGAUUACUUAAAAAUAAAAUCUUUUAAAAAAAAUUGAUGUAAAUUAAGAGAAGUAGAAACUGUGAAACUAUACAUAAAUCAGCACAGGGCAUAUAGUCAGGAAUGUAUUAACUUUGUACGGUGACAGACGGUAAACUAGAUUUAUAUGGGCAUCAUUUUAUAAUGUACAUAAGCAUCAAAUCACUAUGUUGUACACCUGAAACCGACACUGUAUCUCAGUUAUACCUCAAUAAAAAAAAUUGUGUAAAUAUA